rnacentral:rRNA from 1 species
UACGUAGGGGGCAAGCGUUAUCCGGAUUUACUGGGUGUAAAGGGAGCGUAGACGGCAGAGCAAGUCUGAAGUGAAAGCCCGCGGCCCAACUGCGGGACUGCUUUGGAAACUGCCCGGCUAGAGUGCUUGAGAGGUAAGCGGAAUUCCUAGUGUAGCGGUGAAAUGCGUAGAUAUUAGGAGGAACACCAGUGGCGAAGGCGGCUUACUGGACAGUAACUGACGUUGAGGCUCGAAAGCGUGGGGAGCAAACAGG